AUUGAACGCUGGCGGCAGGCCUAACACAUGCAAGUCGAGCGGAUGAUGGGAGCUUGCUCCCGGAUUCAGCGGCGGACGGGUGAGUAAUGCCUAGGAGUCUGCCUGGUAGUGGGGGACAACGUUUCGAAAGGAACGCUAAUACCGCAUACGUCCUACGGGAGAAAGCAGGGGACCUUCGGGCCUUGCGCUAUCAGAUGAGCCUAGGUCGGAUUAGCUAGUUGGUGGGGUAAAGGCCUACCAAGGCGACGAUCCGUAACUGGUCUGAGAGGAUGAUCAGUCACACUGGAACUGAGACACGGUCCAGACUCCUACGGGAGGCAGCAGUGGGGAAUAUGGGACAAUGGGCGAAAGCCUGAUCCAGCCAUGCCGCGUGUGUGAAGAAGGUCUUCGGAUUGUAAAGCACUUUAAGUUGGGAGGAAGGGCAGCAAGUUAAUACCUUGCUGUUUUGACGUUACCAACAGAAUAAGCACCGGCUAACUUCGUGCCAGCAGCCGCCGUAAAAC
rnacentral:rRNA from 1 species